GAUGAAGAACGUAGCGAAAUGCGAUAAGUAAUGUGAAUUGCAGAAUUCAGUGAAUCAUCGAGUCUUUGAACGCACAUUGCGCCCCCUGGUAUUCCGGGGGGCAUGCCUGUCCGAGCGUCAUUGCUGCCCUCAAGCACGGCUUGUGUGUUGGGCCCCGCCCCCCGGCUCCCGGGGGGUGGGCCCGAAAGGCAGCGGCGGCACCGCGUCCGGUCCUCGAGCGUAUGGGGCUUCGUCACCCGCUCCGUAGGCCCGGCCGGCGCCCGCCGGCGACCCCCCUCAAUCUUUUCAGGUUGACCUCGGAUCAGGUAGGGAUACCCGCUGAACUUAAGCAUAUCAAUAAGCGGAGGA
rnacentral:misc_RNA from 1 species